ACUUUUUUAGUACAACCAGUACAAGAGACUUCCAAUCUCUUAAUCUUGGUAGAACCCCAAGAAGAAGUA
rnacentral:tRNA from 1 species